UCCUCUGUAGUUCAGUCGGUAGAACGGCGGACUGUUAAUCCGUAUGUCACUGGUUCGAGUACAGUCAGAGGAGCCA
rnacentral:tRNA from 2 species